rnacentral:rRNA from 1 species
GUCCGCGCCGUAAACGAUGGGUGCUAGGUGUCACGGGCUUUGACUCCUGUGGUGCCGUAGCCAACGCAUUAAGCACCCCGCCUGGGAAGUACGGCCGCAAGGCUAAAACUCAAAGGAAUUGACGGGGGCCCCGCACAAGCGGUGGAGCAUGUGGUUUAAUUCGACGCAACGCUAAGAACCUUACCUGGGCUAGAAAACACAGGAACCUGGGAGAAGUCUCGGGGUGCUCUUCGGAGAAUCUGUGGUUAGGUGCUGCAUGGCUGUCGU